UGGCUGAGGCGGGGAACAAGAUCCCCGAGGACAAAGAUGGGCGGGCCCCUGGGAUUCACCGACGCUGCCCGCUGCCCGGAGCUGCUCCAACGAGCGCCAGGCCUGUGGCUUGAACAAACUUUCCUGCAGCACUGGGGCGGAGAAGACUGGCUGGAGGCUUCUCCCCCGGGCCUCUGCUCUCCUCCACCUGCCAGCGCUCAGCCUCCGCCCAGCCUUCUCCCACCCCAGCUCCCUCCCCCUCCCCCGCGUGCUCUGCUCACUCAGACUCCUGUCUCCCCUCUCCCCUCCUCCUUCUCCCUAUUGCCUUUCUCCCCCACUUUUCUCCUGUCUCUUCUUUUGUAUUCUCUCCUCCCUCGCCGCCCCGGUUGCCUCUCGCCUCCUCCCGGCAGCAGGAGAGGAGGUGAGCGCGCUGCGCCCGGGGCCUGCCCGGCGCAAAGGGAGGCGUUUCUCCUACUUCUCCCGGGUAAUUUGGAGAGGUUGUGUGUGUGCGCGCGCGCGCGUGAGCUCCAGGCAAAAAGGGGUAGGAUUCAGCGCCGAGCAGAGAGGGUCAGGGUCUUUGACGUUCCUGGCCAGCUGCACAAACCUCCCGGAGCAAGUGUGAGUGUGGGUGAGAGUGCGCGCGCGCGCAGGGGCUGGCUGCUCUUGGCACGCUUGGUGGCCUGGGGCCCCGGGGCCCGGGGUCCCGUCUGGCGGCCAGGGAUUACGGUGACGUCACAUUGAGCCUCUGGCCACCUUGGACUGGGACACCUCCGGAGCCUCUUAGCCCCUCGCCGCGCCGCGCCUCACUUCGCCACCAGGCGCCUUUGGGAGCCCGCAUCUUCUUCCUUCCCCUGCCCAUCCAUGGGCCCUUCUGUCUUCCGGACCCCACGGGCCAGAGGGGUGCCUUCCAGAGCACAGGGCUCCGCAGCCGGGCUGCCCUCAGCUCUGCCUCCACUCGGACCAACCAGGCGGAGGAACCGGCGCUGGGCACCCGCAGCCGUGUAAAGAACUGAGACGCCGCACGACUGGGGGCGCGGAACAGCUGGGCUGAGACGGGAACUCGAAAGGGAAGAGGGAGGCGGGCCAGGGACAGCCAUCAUGUCCUUCCCGCACUUUGGACACCCGUACAGCGGCGCUUCUCAGUUUCUGGUGUCUGCAAAUUCCAGCACCACAUGCUGCGAAUCCACCCCACGCUCAGUCUCAGAUGUGGCAUCAGGCUCCACCCCGGCGACCGCUCUCUGCUGCACACCCUACGAUAGUCGGCUGCUGGGCAGUGCGCGACCGGAGCUGAGCGCCGCCUUGGGCAUCUAUGGAGCCCCCUACGCAGCCGCUGCAGCUGCCCAGAGCUACUCUGGCUACCUGCCCUAUAGCCCGGAGCCGCCCGCACUGUAUGGGGCACUGAAUCCACAGUAUGAAUUUAAGGAGGCUGCAGGGAGUUUUACACCCAGCCUGGCACAACCAGGAGCCUAUUAUCCCUAUGAGCGGACUCUGGGGCAGUACCAAUAUGACCGGUAUGGUGCAGUGGAAUUGAGUGGCGCAGGUCGAAGAAAGAAUGCCACCCGGGAGACCACCAGCACACUCAAGGCCUGGCUCAAUGAGCACCGCAAGAACCCCUACCCCACUAAGGGUGAAAAGAUCAUGCUGGCCAUCAUCACCAAGAUGACCCUCACCCAAGUGUCCACCUGGUUUGCCAAUGCACGCCGGCGCCUCAAGAAAGAGAACAAGAUGACAUGGGCACCCAAGAGCAAAGGUGGGGAGGAGAGGAAGGCAGAGGGCGGAGAGGAGGACUCGUUAGGCUGCCUAAACGCUGAUACCAAAGAAGUUACUGCUAGCCAGGAGGCCCGGGGGCUCCGGCUGAGUGACCUGGAAGACCUGGAGGAAGAAGAGGAGGAGGAGGAGGAACCUGAAGAUGAGGAGGCAAUGGCCACAGCUGCGGACAGGCUGGCAGAGUUCCGUAAGGGCGCGCAGUCGCUGCCUGGGUUGUGCGCUGCAGCUCGAGAGGGCCGACUGGAGCGCAGGGAGUGCGGCCUGGCCGCUCCUCGCUUCUCCUCCAAUGAGCCUUCCGGAUCGGAAGAAGCUGACUUCCUCGCGGCGGAACCAGGCGGCCCCAGGUUGACCAUGCAUUACCAGUGCGUGGAGAAACCGCGCAUCUGGUCUCUGGCGCACACUGCAGCAGCUAGCGCUGUCGAAGGUGCACCCCCAACCCGGCCCAGGCCACGAAGUCCUGAGUGCCAUAUGAUUCCCGGGCAGCCUCCUGCCUCUGCCCAGCGACUCGCGGUCCCCAGAGACUCCGCGUGCGAGGAGACUUCCUGCAUAGCCAAAGCCUUUGGAAACCCCAGGUUUGCCCUGCAGGGACUACCGCUGAACUGUGCGCCGUGCCCGCGGAGGAGUGAGCCUGCAGUGCACUGCCAGUACUCGUCUGGAGCAGAAGGUAGUGGGCCCCCAACGGCGCUAGGAGUAUCUGUGCAAAAGACACACACCUACCGCCCUGCCCGGCAAUUGCACACCCCUUUGCCACUCCUGUCUGCCCAGGUCUCCCACAGACCUGACGGGAGACUCCUUCACAGCACUCUUUCAGACGGAAGCUUAGAGAUAAAAGUUCUAGUACUCCCUUAUUUUAAAGCCAAAUAAUGAACUCACAGGGAGACUGUAAUUACCUAGAAUCACUUAGCCGUUCGAGAGAUGGACAACCAAGAUCUCCGCAUUCGUGGUCAAGUGUACGGCCAAAUUCACCAGCAGGUUAGCGCAAUGGCUGUGAUUUGCGGAAGAAUCUUGGAAAUGGGCCCCACAUUUCAAAUUCAUCUCCAGGUUAAGAAGCUGCCAGACCUUGUUAGGGACCAGAAGCUCUCACUUUGCCUAAGAGACAGACACACAAAAACCCUCCUAGCAGCUGUCCUUGCACGCAGAGCUGGGGUCUUGGGCAGACUUGGACGUUAGCAGACCCCAUGGAGGAGAUGGCAGGGCACCUUGAGGAAGGCUAAGUGGGAGGCUGGGCCAGUCUGCCUCACCCACCGACUCUACCAAGUCUGUCUUCCUCUGGAUUCAGCACGGCUUCCUCUCCUGCUCACCCCUGUCUCUCACCCUCACCGGCCUCACUUUAACUUCAUCGCUCACCCAGCCACUAAGGACCGUGUGCGUCUUAUCCCACUCCCAACCCCUUGUGUCCUUAAAAAUAAUCAGUCUGAACCCAUG